UCCUUGCUGAUAUUAGCUUGUUCGGGCC
rnacentral:sRNA from 1 species